UGUCCAUCCCUGACACCGAAGGGCUCCCCCUGCCCACCAAUGGCAGCCCGGUUACCAGAAUCCCCUUGCUUCCCACACUCUCCUGCAGGGCUCCAGCCCCGGCCCCCUCUCUCCUUCCCUUUCUUCUAAUACCUCUUCCUGCUGCCAUCAUGUUGAAGCCUCAGCCGCCACAACAGCCCUCCCAACCCAAAGGCAUCUUCUUGGUGCAGCAGCACCAGGAGAGGCUGGGAGCUGCCAACAUCGGCAACACCAGGGGACAGAGGACAGGAAACGGACCCCCGCCAGUCACCUUGUUUGAAGGCAUCUACAAAAAUUCCAGAAUGCUGCAUUUCCUCACAGCUGUUGUGGGCUUCACUUGCGAUGUAAAGGUGAAAAAUGGCGCCAUCUACGAGGGUAUCUUCAAGACGCUGAGCUCGAAGUUUGAACUAGCAGCGGAUGCUAUGCAGCCGAGAGCAUCUGAGCCAGCAGGGGGCCCUCGUCGGGAGGACAUCGUGGACACCACGGUGUUGAAGCCAAGGGAUGUCAUGCUCGUUCUCUUCCGAAAUGUUGACUUCAGCUACGCUACUAAAGACAAGUUCAGCCACGCAACCAUUGCCAAGAACUUGAAAGUGAAUGGGGAACACAAAGAGAAGGCGCUUCGGCGAUGGGAGGGGGGGUGACAGCAGCAGCGACGACUACGACCUCAAGUCCGACACGUCCAGUGGAUGGGACCCCAAUGAAAUGUUGAAGUUCAAUGAGGAGAACUACGGUGUGAAGGCCACCUAUGAUAGCAGUCUUUCUUUUUAUACGGUGCCCUUAGAAAAGGACAACUUGAAAGAGUUUCAUAAGCGACAGCUGCGUGCAGCCCAGCUGGCUUGAGAUAUUGAAUCAAGCUCAGUUUGAUUGAACCAGUACUGCCUGUGGAUCGCCAUGGAGAACGACGAUGGGCAUACUGAAGAGGAGAAGCACUGUGCGGUCUAGCGGCAGGGCUCUGGUCAAGAGAGCCCCAGCCUGGCAUCCAGGGAGGGGAUGUGUAUCCCUCUGUUUGGGGCCCAGUUUAAGCUUCUGCCCAGCAGCUCCUCUGAAAACAGCCUGGAUCCUUUUCCUCCUGGGAUCUUCAAGGAGGAGGCCAAAGGAAAGGAGAAGGAGGCUGAUGCUCUGUUGACUUCAGAGACAAUGGGGUCCCCUGUCUCCUCCAAGACAGAGUCUAUAUCAGAUAAAGAGGACAAACCACCUCUGGCACUAGCAGGAGGCACUGAGGAGUCAGAGCAGACCUCACCACCUUGCCCAAGCCAAACCGGUAGCACCCCUGAUGGACCUCAUCAAAGGAGAGGACAAGGAUGAGGGCCCUGUUGCUGAACAAGUAAAGAAAUAAACGUGGAACCCCAGUGCCAAGGAGUUCAAUCACACAAAGCCUCUGCUAUCUGUGAAUAAAUCCACCAGUACCCCAACUUCUCCAGGGCCCCAGAUUCAUUCAACUCCCUCCAUCCCAGUGCUGACAGCAGGCCAGAGUAGGCUAUACAGCCCUUAGCACAUAUCCUACAUACCUCAUAGGACCAGCUGUGGGGCACCUCAGAUGUAUCCAUAUCCUGCAUCCAAUUCAGUGCCUAGGCAGCAGGGAAAGUACUGGCAAGCAAAAGGCUCCUUGCUUCCACAGAGCUCAGACCAAUGCCAGCCAGCCUCAGCCAUGCCAAUGAUGCAGGCCUCUGUGGCUGCUGUCCUGCCUCUGGUGUCUGCCAUGCCCUAUUCUUCCUACGUCCCCUACAACCCUCAGCAGUUCCCAGGCCAGCCUGCCAUGAUGCAGCCCAUGGCUCACUACCCCUCGCAGCCAGUGUGUGCCCCCAUGCUUCAGAGCAACCCAUGCAUGCUGAUGCUGGGCAGCCAUCCCCCAGCCAUAGUGUCCUCCUCCACCCCUAGUAUGCUUCUGCAGAGCAGCCCACCCCCCAAGCCCUUUAUGCCUCUGUUCACCAGGCCCUACCCACACUAAGCCACACAGCUCCAUGCCCACCAGCCAUAGCUGGCUACCACGCCUACUGGGAGCCAGCCAGAGUCCCAGCAUGCAGCCCCUAGUCCCGCCUAGCAUCAGGUGGGGCAGGCCCCAAACCU